rnacentral:misc_RNA from 2 species
AACGCACAUUGCGCCCUUUGGUAUUCCGAAGGGCAUGCCUGUUCGAGCGUCAUUUGCAUCCUCAAGCUCUGCUUGGUAUUGGAGGCCGCCCCGCUGGGGUGCCCCCGAAACGCAGCGGCGACGUAGCCGGACUCCCUGGCGUAGUGACAUUUAGCUGUCGCCCCGGAGUGGUCGGUCGUGCGUUAGCCGGACAACGCCCCCUAUUUUUGAAAUCGACCUCGGAUCAGGUAGGACUACCCGCUGAACUUAA